UACGGGGGGAGCAAGCGUUGUUCGGAUUUACUGGGCGUAAAGGGCGCGUAGGCGGCGCAACAAGUCACUUGUGAAAUCUCCGGGCUUAACCCGGAGCGGCCAAGUGAUACUGUCGUGCUAGAGUGCGGAAGGGGCUACUGGAAUUCUCGGUGUAGCGGUGAAAUGCGUAGAUAUCGAGAGGAACACCUGCGGCGAAGGCGGCUUCCUGGACCGAUACUGACGCUGAGACGCGAAAGCGUGGGGAGCAAACAGG
rnacentral:rRNA from 1 species